CACCACUCAAGACUUGCUUUAGUUUUGGUGUUGGAGGUCCUGUUCUUACCCUUCCGAACAGGCCGCCGAAAUGCAUCGGCUGUUAUUUUUACUUGCCAACUCCCCUGUGUAGUACAAGAUUUUUUAAAUUUUUACGCUUUGGAGU
rnacentral:misc_RNA from 1 species